rnacentral:rRNA from 1 species
AACGAACGCUGGCGGCAGGCCUAAUACAUGCAAGUCGAACGGAUGUAGCAAUACAUUAGUGGCGCACGGGUGCCUAACGCGUGGGAACAUACCCUUGAGUAAGGAAUAAUGUCUGGAAACGGACACUAAUACCUUAUAAUGACUUCGGUCCAAAGAUUUAUCGCUCAAGGAUUGGCCCGCGUCUGAUUAGCUAGUUGGUGAGGUAACGGCUCACCAAGGCGACGAUCAGUAGCUGGUCUGAGAGGAUGAUCAGCCACGCUGGGACUGAGACACGGCCCAGAAUCCUACGGGAGGCAGCAGUAAGGAAUAUUGGACAAUGGGGGAAACCCUGAUCCAGCCAUGCCGCGGGAGUGAAGAAGGCCUUAGGGUUGUAAAGCUCUUUCAAUAGUGAAGAUAAUGACGGUAGCUAUAGAAGAAGCCCCGGCUAAAUGCGUGCCAGCCGCCGCAGUAA